UCAAACGCACAAAAGCCCUCUUUUGGAGGGGUAAAUAUAACUGCACACUAAUAUACCUCAUGCCUUGGCGGAAGUAAACUAACCUCAAACAAACAAGAAGCACACAAGCGCGAGAGAACGUGUGGGUUGUGUAGCACCCCCUCGCCCCAAUCCGUCCCAGUAACAAGCAAAUUGAUUCCUUACCGAAUACUUUACAUACUCCAUCAACUCUCACAAGCACACAAUACCGCAGGCGAGCGCGAAGUACCGUAGGUUGGGAGAGAGACAGACAGACAGAGUAACAAGACCGCAUGCCUCUCUGUAAGGGUCACAAUUAGCUUGUAUCAGUAGUAGUCGUUACAGUAACGCAUAGAGUAACACUACGAGCACAAAGCUCACACACGAUGAUGAUGAUGAUGUCGUAUCCAAGCUGUGUGUUUAGUAGUAGGGCAAAAUGCCGUUUUUGUGUUUUAGAAGUAUUUUACUCUCCCCCUCACCACACACACUCUCUCACUCCGUCCAAAUGUAUACAAUCAGUGUCGUGAAGAUGUUACGCGUUACACAAACCCAUCCAUACAUACUCUAGCGAUUAAGCGAUCACGAUAAUCUUAGACAAGAAAGAUAUACAACCUUUUGGUAGGCUUUUCUGUAAUGCAGCUCUCGCUCUCUCUCAAAAUGUGUUCAGUUUAGGAGGGGAAGAAACAAAACCCCCCGCGUGCCUUUGGUGUCUCUCGCGAUGGUGGUGUGCACCACGGCGAUGUGUGUUCUCACAGUAAUGUAUUGUGUUGUGUGUCUGUGUAUGUGUAUUUUGGUGUCAAAUGAGAUUAUAGAAUUUUCCUCGUACUUAUCACAGCACUGCUGGAUGUAAAACAAGCAAAGACAAAUCGUUACAAACUUAUUACUCUCCCUCCCCAUAAAAGGGCGCAAGAUAUGCUAAUGUUUAAAACUGCCUACCCGAGCUUUUAAGCGAAGCAAAGCGACCAAAAGACAAACUGUUAUAGCAAUCACACACACACACGCGUGCGCAACCAUGACAAAAGUAACGGCGGGAGAGUAAUUAAUUAUAGGCAAGCGCAAGUAUAAGCGCAAAACCAACCUCCCUUUUACGCAAACAAAACAGCGCAGCGCAAGGAGUGGCAGCAAAAGCAAAGCACCAUUGUAGUCGCUUAAUGAGUAACAAUGAAAAGAAAAGCAUUAUUUUAAGCUUAAGCUAAUUUAUUCCGACUAGUUCUGGGGCAAAAAUGCUCCUUUUUCCCACUUCGCUCUAAAAGUAGUACUAGCAGGAAGUUUAGUAGUGCUGCUGAGAGGAGAAAGUUUAGUGCCAGGUCUGGAAAUGGGAAGAAAAGCUGCUUUUAAAUUCAUUCGUAUGAUAAUUAGAUCUGUGUUCUGACAUAGCCGUCUACUGUGCAUUUGAAGCACCAUCGCUCCUUCGUACCGUCCUGCGCUGGGUAGGGAGAAUUGAAUCGUUUUAAAAAGCAAUUGCGUACAGUCUCUCUAAGGAUUACUCUUUCUAUUAAAAAAAAACGGAAAUCUGUCCACUUUUUACUCUCUCCGUUAAGUGUGCGUGUGUGUGUGUUGGUUGUGUGAUAUGUAUCGUUCAUAUUCAAAUUGGCUUCAAAUGGAUCGUAGCAGCAGCAGCAGCAGCAGUACCAGUACAAAUGUGUGUAUAGAUUUAGAAGAUAAGGGGCAGCAGUGUUAGGGCUCACGUGAAGUAGAUUACCAUUAGUAGAUUUCCUUUUUUUUUUGUAUACAUUUUGCUUUCAUCUUAAAAGGAAAGCACUUCGAGAAAAACAAACAAAAAGAACACAACAAGUACGUAAGAAGAAGCUGUGAGUUAAUGACACACUAUCAAGGGAGAUGUGGAUGGUAUAAGGCUAGAGAAAAUAUCAAACGAACCGAGGGAAUGCGAACGUCCAUGACAUUAUAAAGCUCGUCGAAUCUAUAUAUCCCAAGAAUCGAAACGUGUCCAAUCAAAUCCGAAACUGAAACUGACGAUGCAAACAGAAUACUGCUUGCGUGCGUGUGCGUGUGUGCGUUGGGAGAAGAACAACCCUUCCGUGUAAACCCCCUCAACAGCGUGCCUGUGCGCUGUUGGCCUGCAUCUAACGAUCAAGAAACAGAAAGGUAGGGACACGUCCUCAAAUGAAAAAUGCAAAAUGCACCACUCCAAGUACAAUUGCCUCUCGCUAGCAUGCUGUUUUAAUACAAUUAGAAUCCAAUUGGACCAAUAAAAGCGCAACGGAUUUUGAAGCAGAAAA